ACAACAUUUGGACCUUCCUUCGGUCUACCGAGCAAUAUCACCCGCUCGGUGGUAGAUCUUCCGUUUGUCGU
rnacentral:pre_miRNA from 1 species